UUUUGUUGAAUAAUUUCACAUCAAAAUAGAUUAUCAUAUGUUAGCAACCUAUUUCGGAGAAAAUGCCAUACAAUAAUAGAAACUUUUAAAAGUGACACUUUGUGCCAAAUAACAUCUUGAAGGUUAUCGACCGGAUCAUCCUUAACCAACAGGUGAUAAACAUCUCUGAUGGUGUAGCCUUUGUCAGAUGUGAGUUGUCAUUUUCACCUAUCUUCCACCUCAUAUUGUCUUUGUAAAAAAAAGGUAGAUAAUAGCUCCCUAUACUCCAACAACAUCUCCUCUUCCUAACCAAACAAUCGACGCCGCCAUUUUCAAACCUCGCCAGGAUAAAAAUGAAGAUAGCAACACUCAAUAUUUGGAGAUGGAGUAUAUGGUAUGCUCAAGAGUGAAGACAUUAAAUCUUGUCUUGGUCGCUUAAUGUAAGACAUUACUGCGGCAAACGCCAUAAGUGCAAUUUGAUUGAGAUUGAGACUAUUGUGGGUGGUUUUAUUUGGGAAAGAGUUAAAAUUCAAAGCUUUCAUUUUGUCCUCUGGUGAAAAAAGUCACGGGCAUUUCCGUGAAGAUUAAUUAUGGUGAAUAAAUCGUCAGAGCUUCUAAUUCUAAACAGUAAUUUUUUUUUUCUUUCCCAUUUACAAAGGUUGGUAUAGUACUCAAAUUUUUUUGUCUUUGUUAAUGUGAGAUUGUUGAUGUGAGUUUAGCUAACAUAUUAGUUGAUAAGAUAUUGACUCAUCUAUAAUGUCGUGGGUUCAACUCUCUGCCAAUCUGAACCAUACUUUUAGUCGGUGUGAUUUGUAAGUACAAGUAUUGAGGCAUGCCCUGAUCUAUUGAAGCUAUAUAGCUCAACUUAGAAACUUUUUCUCAUUUAAAAUAAAACAUAAUAAUA
rnacentral:lncRNA from 1 species